AUAAAUCCUUACCCUAGCCUCCAAGCGCUCCCUAAACUCACAACUCACAAGCGUUAAACCCAAAUUUUGCGAAGAUAGGGUUUUAAGAUCCAAAGCUAGGGUUUCGUCUUGGGCGGUAGGGUUGAUCCUUACGCAGUUUACAGGAAUUGGUUUUGUAGGAGGAACUUGGUUUUUGGGUACAGGAAGCCAUUGGGACUCUCUGAUAUGGCAAUACACUAUUGAUCUCUAAUCUGCGCAUCUCCUUCGUUUUCCUCCCAAGGUUAAAGUCCGAGGCUUUUAGUAAAGUCUCAAGCUUUAAUAUGCCCCUAGGAACUAACUCAAAGUUGUUUAGUUGACCUUAAUUACAGUCGAAGUUAGGGUUUUCAAGGUCCACUUACCUGAACUGAAAAGUUAAAAAUCUGAAGGCAUCGUUUCAUUGUUUUUGUGAGCUGAAAUUGAUCCAAACUUAAGGUUAAUUGACAGUUCAAACUCAUGAUUAAUUGAUAGUUUGGUUGACCUACUGGUAAUAAAAAUAAAAAUAAGAAAUUAGAAUGUUUUCUUAGGUGUCAAUUUAAUGUGUAACACUUUAUUUAUAUAAACCAACCAUUCAAAAA